GACGAACGCUGGCGGCGUGCCUAAUACAUGCAAGUCGAACGAACCGCGACUAAGUGCUUGCACUAAGUCAAGGUGAGUGGCGAACGGGUGAGUAACACGUGGGUAACCUACCUCAUAGUGGGGGAUAACAGUCGGAAACGACUGCUAAUACCGCAUAGGACAUAGGAUCACAUGAUCCAGUGAGGAAAGGUGGCGCAAGCUAUCGCUAAGAGAUGGACCCGCGGUGCAUUAGCUAGUUGGUAGGGUAAAGGCCUACCAAGGCGAUGAUGCAUAGCCGACCUGAGAGGGUGAUCGGCCACAUUGGGACUGAGACACGGCCCAAACUCCUACGGGAGGCAGCAGUAGGGAAUCUUCCGCAAUGGACGCAAGUCUGACGGAGCAACGCCGCGUGAGUGAAGAAGGUCUUCGGAUCGUAAAGCUCUGUUGUUAGAGAAGAACAGCGCAUAGAGUAACUGUUAUGCGUGUGACGGAUCUAACCAGAAAGCCACGCA
rnacentral:rRNA from 1 species